UUUCAUAUGCGGCCCACGAUACAACAAAAAGUUGCCAAAAUGGCCCGCGAGGUUCAGCUGGCUGAUGACCUAUUCAAAAAAAACUCUAGAUAUGUGUGCCUGCUUGGUUCAAUAAAACUAUUCAACACAGUGCACAGUGGAUCCUCUCCGAACAAAGGUGUGACAAAAUUAAAAAAUGUCAGAUAUUCUACCAAAUAUGUCAUAUUAGGGUAAUUUUGGGCAGCUGAAUUCAAAAAAUACAUUUAUUUUUUCAUGAAAUAAAAUUUAUGUACAUUA